rnacentral:miRNA from 1 species
UAAACACUGCCUACAUCCUGUAU